rnacentral:rRNA from 1 species
AUUGAACGCUGGCGGCAGGCCUAACACAUGCAAGUCGAGCGGAUGAAGCGAGCUUGCUCCUGGACUCAGCGGCGGACGGGUGAGUAAUGCCUAUGAAUCUGCCUGGUCGUGGGGGAUAACGUCCGGAUACGGGCGCUAAUACCGCAUACGUCCUGAGGUAGAAAGUGGGGGAUCCUCGGACCUCUCGCUAUCUGAUGAGCCUAGGUCGGAUUAGCUAGUUGGUGGGGUAAAGGCCUACCAAGGCGACGAUCCGUAACUGGUCUGAGAGGGUGAUCAGGCACACUGGAACAGAGACACGGUCCAGACUCCUACGGGAGGCAGCAGAGAGGAAUAUUGGACGAUGGAGGAGAGCCUGAUCCAGCCAUGCCGCGUGUGUGAAGAAGGUCUUCGGAUUGUGGAGCGCUUUAAGUUGGGAGGUAGGGCAGUAAGUUAAGACCUGGCUAUUUUGACGGUACCGACAGAAUAAGCACCGGCUAACUUCGUG